GACGUAGGUGGCAAGCGUUGUCCGGAAUUAUUGGGCGUAAAGCGCGCGCAGGCGGUCCUUUAAGUCUGAUGUGAAAGCCCACGGCUCAACCGUGGAGGGUCAUUGGAAACUGGGGGACUUGAGUACAGAAGAGAAGAGUGGAAUUCCACGUGUAGCGGUGAAAUGCGUAGAGAUGUGGAGGAACACCAGUGGCGAAGGCGACUCUUUGGUCUGUAACUGACGCUGAGGCGCGAAAGCGUGGGGAGCAAACAGG
rnacentral:rRNA from 1 species